CCCUUAGAUGUUCUGGGCCGCACGCGUGCUACACUGAGUGGAUCAGCGGGUCAGGUUGCGCGAAAGUGUUUCCUAAUCUUUAAAUCCGCUCGUGAUGGGGAUUGACGGUUGCAAUUUUCCGUCAUGAACGAGGAAUACCUUGUAAGCGCGGGUCAUCAUCCCGCGCUGAAUACGUCCCUGCCCUUUGUACACACCGCCCGUCGCACCUACCGAUUGAAUGGUCCGGUGAAGCCUCCGGAUUGGCGCGCACCUCGGUGCCGCCGAGAAGUUGGCUAAACCUUACCAUUUAGAGGAAGGUGAAGUCGUAACA
rnacentral:rRNA from 1 species